AUUGAACGCUGGCGGCAUGCCUUACACAUGCAAGUCGAACGGUAACGCGGGGCAACCUGGCGACGAGUGGCGAACGGGUGAGUAAUACAUCGGAACGUGCCCAGUAGUGGGGGAUAGCCCGGCGAAAGCCGGAUUAAUACCGCAUACGACCUACGGGUAAAAGCGGGGGAUCACAAGUCCUCGCGCUAUUGGAGCGGCCGAUGUCAGAUUAGCUAGUUGGUGGGGUAAAAGCCUACCAAGGCGACGAUCUGUAGCUGGUCUGAGAGGACGACCAGCCACACUGGGACUGAGACACGGCCCAGACUCCUACGGGAGGCAGCAGUGGGGAAUUUUGGACAAUGGGGGCAACCCUGAUCCAGCCAUGCCGCGUGCGGGAAGAAGGCCUUCGGGUUGUAAACCGCUUUUGUCGGGGAAGAAACGGUCUGCGCUAAUACCGCGGACUAAUGACGGUACCCGAAGAAUAAGCACCGGCUAACUACGUGCCAGCCGCCGCAGUAAAAC
rnacentral:rRNA from 1 species